rnacentral:misc_RNA from 1 species
AAAGGUUGAAAGAAAAGAAGACGCCUAAAUAUCCUUGCUUCGAUAUAAAUGACGCGAAUGCCAUUUGACUUAAAAGUUUUACACACUCCCUUCGGUACACCCAGUAUAUAUAUUCGCCACAUUCAACAGAGGAGACUGACUGGCAAGUUUAAUUCUCAAGAUUCUUGACUCUCGACUUGGGGACAUUCAUUUGGCAUUCGAUACACGUCGAUAUACCUGCUUCCGGGAACGUUGUUUUCAACGUAUCCCGUGAUUGGAGGGUAGCAGCUGACGAGGAAUGGCACGCUUUCCAGAGCAACCAGCUCCCAGGGAUCGGAAGGGAGGUCUUUAUGUGUCAAGCCCUUUGUGUUGCGAUCCUACGAGGUAGGAUAAACGUAACGCGACAUGUGAUUCCUGCACCUGAAUCGAGAUUCGCUCGCGAUCGUCCAAGGACACAGAAUCAAGGAUUUUUCCCAAUGUAUAGAACC